rnacentral:rRNA from 1 species
GACGAACGCUGGCGGCGUGCUUAACACAUGCAAGUCGAACGGAAAGGCCCUGCUUUUGUGGGGUGCUCGAGUGGCGAACGGGUGAGUAACACGUGAGUAACCUGCCCUUGACUUUGCGAUAACUUCAGGAAACUGGGGCUAAUACCGGAUAGGAGCUCCUGCUGCAUGGUGGGGGUUGGAAAGUUUCGGCGGUUGGGGAUGGACUCGCGGCUUAUCAGCUUGUUGGUGGGGUAGUGGCUUACCAAGGCUUUGACGGGUAGCCGGCCUGAGAGGGUGACCGGCCACAUUGGGACUGAGAUACGGCCCAGACUCCUACGGGAGGCAGCAGUGGGGAAUAUUGCACAAUGGGCGGAAGCCUGAUGCAGCAACGCCGCGUGCGGGAUGACGGCCUUCGGGUUGUAAACCGCUUUCGCCUGUGACGAAGCGUGAGUGACGGUAAUGGGUAAAGAAGCACCGGCUAAUUACGUG